GUUGCUCUCACGGGAAGGAAGAAGAUGAUACUCAUACUACCAGUCAAGGGCAGCUGAGCAAUCUGAAACAGCAAGAAGCAGACCUUGCAGUUGAGAUCAGAAUCCAAGCCAUAACGUAAAAUGGCCUUGGGGUCCGACAUCAUGGGGACUCUCACAGUCCUGUCCUCAUCCAAGUGGAAAUCCUGGAGGGAGGUCUUCCUGGAAUCAAACUUCGUUACCCACUGUCCUGGAAUGGAACAAAUGGAAUGUCCUGAGCCCCAGGCACCAGAAAGGCCUAGGGGACCAUGCUGUGUCAAUUUCCUGACUGUUUGAAGGAAUCUUAGUCCUCAGCUGCUCUGACACAUGAGGGAACAGUUGCUCUAUCUCAGCAUGUGUAGUUUGAGGUACAGUACUUCCAGUACCCCAAAAGCCUUCUACAAGCCAACUCAGAUGGAAAGAAGUUUAUUUGAUUUGAUUCCUUUCAUCAAAGGUGAUCUUUAAUAUGCUA